AUACGGAGGGUGCAAGCGUUACUCGGAAUCACGGGGCGUAAAGCGCGCGCAGGCGGCCAUUUAAGUUGGAUGUGAAAGCCUACGGCUCAACCGUAGAACUGCAUCCAAAACUAUUUGGCUAGAGUGUGGUAGAGGAAGAUGGAAUUAGUUGUGUAGGGGUAAAAUCCGUAGAGAUAACUAGGAAUACCAAAAGCGAAGGCAAUCUUCUGGAACAUUACUGACGCUGAGGCGCGAAAGCGUGGGGAGCAAACAGGAUUAGAAACCCCUGUAGUCC
rnacentral:rRNA from 1 species